rnacentral:rRNA from 1 species
UACGGAGGGUGCAAGCGUUAUCCGGAUUCACUGGGUUUAAAGGGUGCGUAGGUGGGCAGGUAAGUCAGGGGUGAAAUCCUGGAGCUCAACUCCAGAACUGCCUUUGAUACUGAGGAUCUUGAGUUCGGGAGAGGUGAGUGGAACUGCGAGUGUAGAGGUGAAAUUCGUAGAUAUUCGCAAGAACACCAGUGGCGAAGGCGGCUCACUGGCCCGAUACUGACGCUGAAGCACGAAAGCGUGGGGAGCAAACAG